GGAGAGGUGGCUCAGCGGUUAAGAGCAACGGACUGCUCUUCCAAAGGUUGUGAGUUCAAAUCCCAGCAACCACA
rnacentral:tRNA from 1 species